rnacentral:rasiRNA from 1 species
UGUUUCAUCGUUAUACGGCUCGGGC